GGACUACAGGGGUAUCUAAUCCUGUUCGCUCCCCCAGCUUUCGCGCCUCAGCGUCAGGUACCAUCCAGGACACUGCCUUCGCCUUUGGUAUUCCUCCGGAUAUCUACGCAUUUCACCACUCCACCCGGAAUUCUAUGUCCCUCUCUGGCCCUCUAGUGCGCCAGUUUUCGGUAGGCCUUUGUCGGUUAAGCCGACAACUGUCACUCCGAACUUGGUACACCGCCUGCACGCCCUUUACGCCCAGUAACUCCGGACAACGCUCGCCCCCUACGUAUUACCGCGGCUGCUGGCAC
rnacentral:rRNA from 1 species